AUUGAACGCUGGCGGCAGGCCUAACACAUGCAAGUCGAGCGCGCGGGGGAGGGGGGAGUAAUAUCUGGGAGAAUGUCUGAUGGGGGGGGAUAACUCCUGGAGACGGUGGCGAAAACCGCACACCAUCAGAUGUGCGCAGAUGGGGUUAGCGAGUAGGUGGGGUAACGGCGCACCUAGGCGACGAUCCCUAGCUGGUCUGAGAGGAUGACCAGCCACACUGGAACGGAGACACGGUCCAGACUCCUACGGGAGGCAGCAGUGGGGAAUAUUGCACAAUGGGCGCAAGCCUGAUGCAGCCAUGCCGCGUGUGUGAAGAAGGCCUGCGGGUUGUAAAGCACUUUCAGCGAGGAGGCGUUACCCGCAGAAGAAGCACCGGCUAACUCCGUGCCAGCAGCCGCGGUAAUAC
rnacentral:rRNA from 1 species